UACGUAGGGGGCAAGCGUUGUCCGGAUUUAUUGGGCGUAAAGAGCUCGUAGGCGGCUCAGUAAGUCAGGUGUGAAACCUCCAGGCUCAACCUGGAGACGCCACCUGAUACUGCUGUGGCUAGAGUCCGGGUAGGGUGACGGCGUUGGAAGUUCCUGGUGUAGCGGUGAAAUGCGCAGGAUAUCAGGAGGAACACCAGCGGCGGAAGGCGGCGCUCUGGGCCGGAACUGACGCUGAGGAGCGAAAGCGUGGGUAGCAAACAGG
rnacentral:rRNA from 1 species